GUGGGGAAUCUUGCGCAAUGGGCGAAAGCCUGACGCAGCCAUGCCGCGUGAAUGAUGAAGGUCUUAGGAUUGUAAAAUUCUUUCACCGGGGACGAUAAUGACGGUACCCGGAGAAGAAGCUCCGGCUAACUUCGUGCCAGCAGCCGCGGUAAUACGAAGGGGGCUAGCGUUGCUCGGAAUUACUGGGCGUAAAGGGCGCGUAGGUGGACAGCUUAGUCAGAGGUGAAAGCCCAGGGCUCAACCUUGGAAUUGCCUUUGAUACUGGCUGUCUUGAGUUUGGGAGAGGUGAGUGGAACUCCGAGUGUAGAGGUGAAAUUCGUAGAUAUUCGGAAGAACACCAGUGGCGAAGGCGACUCACUGGCCCGUUACUGACGCUGAGGCGCGAAAGCGUGGGGAGCAAACAGGAUUAGAUACCCGGGUAGUCC
rnacentral:rRNA from 1 species